rnacentral:tRNA from 1 species
UACCUGGAGGACUAGUGGUUAGGCUUCGGCGCUCUCACCGCCGCGGCCCGGGUUCGAUUCCUGUCUAGGGAA